rnacentral:rRNA from 1 species
CGAGCGAGCGGAACCACAGAUUUACUUCGGUAAUGACGUUGGGAAAGCGAGCGGCGGAUGGGUGAGUAACACGUGGGGAACCUGCCCCUAAGUCUGGGAUACCAUUUGGAAACAGGUGCUAAUACCGGAUAAUAAAGCAGAUCGCAUGAUCAGCUUUUGAAAGGCGGCGUAAGCUGUCGCUAAGGGAUGGCCCCGCGGUGCAUUAGCUAGUUGGUAAGGUAACGGCUUACCAAGGCGACGAUGCAUAGCCGAGUUGAGAGACUGAUCGGCCACAUUGGGACUGAGACACGGCCCAAACUCCUACGGGAGGCAGCAGUAGGGAAUCUUCCACAAUGGACGCAAGUCUGAUGGAGCAACGCCGCGUGAGUGAAGAAGGUUUUCGGAUCGUAAAGCUCUGUUGUUGGUGAAGAAGGAUAGAGGUAGUAACUGGCCUUUAUUUGACGGUAAUCAACCAGAAAGUCACGGCUAACUACGUGCCAGCAGCCGCGGUAAUACGUAGGUGGCAAGCGUUGUCCGGAUUUAUUGGGCGUAAAGCGAGCGCAGGCGGAAAAAUAAGUCUAAUGUGAAAGCCCUCGGCUUAACCGAGGAACUGCAUCGGAAACUGUUUUUCUUGAGUGCAGAAGAGGAGAGUGGAACUCCAUGUGUAGCGGUGGAAUGCGUAGAUAUAUGGAAGAACACCAGUGGCGAAGGCGGCUCUCUGGUCUGCAACUGACGCUGAGGCUCGAAAGCAUGGGUAGCGAACAGGAUUAGAUACCCUGGUAGUCCAUGCCGUAAACGAUGAGUGCUAAGUGUUGGGAGGUUUCCGCCUCUC